UACGGGGGGGGCAAGCGUUGUUCGGAAUUACUGGGCGUAAAGGGCUCGUAGGCGGCCAACUAAGUCGGACGUGAAAUCCCCAGGCUCAACCUGGGAACUGCGUCCGAUACUGGAUGGCUUGAAUCCGGGAGAGGGAUGCAGAAUUCCAGGUGUAGCGGUGAAAUGCGUAGAUAUCUGGAGGAACACCGAUGGCGAAGGCAGCCUUCUGGGCCAACACUGACGCUCAUGCACGAAAGCGUGGGGGAGCAAACAGG
rnacentral:rRNA from 1 species